UUCUUUUCUUUUUGAAGUGGGCUCCGCCCCCAGCUUGGGGCUUGAACUCACGACUCAUACGAUCAGGAGUCACGUGCUCCACCGACUGAGCCGGCCAGGCGCUAAACCACCUGUCUCUAACAGAUGUUCUGCUGACCAUGUUAUUUCUGGCCCUGAAAACAGUCUUGCAGACAGUUACAAGUCACCCCGUCAUACACAGGAGCAAAGGGAGACCUGCCCGGGGGGUGGGCGUCCACGUACGGUAACAGUCACGAAAUUAAUAACGUGGACAACGCUAGUUGCAGCAAUGAUAUUAGCUCGUGUUUACUGAGCGCUCGCUGUUAUUUUGGGCUGUUCACCUGCGUCCUCGCUGAAAGCUCACAAGUACGCUUUGGGGUGGGCACUGGCGUUUUCUCAAUUUGCAGACGAGGACCCUGAGGCCCAGAGAAGUCAAGGCACUGGUCCAGAGUCACACAGCUGGAAGAGGGGGAGCCAGAAUCCAAAUCUCAAAGCCCCCGCUCGGGACCACUCAUCGUCACCUGGAUUUUGUCACGGGUCAAAGACUCGAGGUCCAGGGGUUCUUAGGCCCAGGCUUCACGGUCAGAGAGAGAGAGAGGCACAGCUAGUGUCUGAACCCGGCAAGUCUGAUGUCGUGAGAGAGACAGAGCAUGAGCAGGGGAGAGGCAGAGAGAGAGGGAGACACAGGAUCCGAAGC